rnacentral:rRNA from 1 species
AUGCAUGGAGGCCUGAGAAUCUUAAAUCUCGACAAGUUUGCCAUUGCUCUUCGCCUUCGUUGGUUGUGGGCCGAGUGGCUUCACCCAGACAAGCCAUGGGUUGGCUUGGGAACCCCAUGUGAUGACAAUGACAGAAAUAUCUUUGCUGCGGCUACCACGGUCCAAGUUGGGGAUGGCAUGCGUGCCAAGUUCUGGGAGUCUCCUUGGCUUGAUGGGAUUAGACCCAAAGACCUGGCUCCUAAAAUCUUUGACUUGUCGAAGAAGAAGAACUGCUCGGUCCGAAUGGCUCUGCAUGAGAACUUCUGGAUUUCCCAGGUGGACAUUCUUCAAGGCAUCACCGUCGAACACCUUGUUGAGUUUGUCACCCUUUGGGAGAGGGUCUCCCACGUCAACCUCGACGUCGACAUACCCGACAACAUAACAUGGAAAUUCACUACUGACGGUCUCUACUCAGCGGCGUCGGCCUACAAGGCGCAAUUCUUGGGCCAUACUGACACAACCAUGAUCCCGACCGUUUGGAAGAUUUGGGCUCCUCCUAAAUGUAAGUUCUUCGCAUGGCUGGCAAUCAACAAUAGGAUUUGGACGGCGGACAGGCUUCAACGUCGUGGGUGGCCAAAUUGUAAUCUUUGUCCACUAUGCAAACAAGUCCAGGAGUCGGCGGCCCACCUACUAUUCCAAUGCCGAUACACUAUUAGAGUUUGGCGCAUGGUCAAAGAUUGGCUUGGUCUCCAAGAUGUGCAUCCUUCUAAUUGGAGUGACGCGACUUCCGUCAAAGAGUGGUGGAGCCACAAUGCUAACAGGAAGACCCAAUCGCGAAAGCCACUUGCUUCCUUGAUGCUUCUCAUCUGUUGGGAAUUGUGGAAAGAGAGGAAUGCACGGAUCUUCCGUAACGAGGCCGUUGUAGUGGGUGUCAUUGUCACUAGGAUUAAGGAGGAAACCUCCAUUUGGAGUAUUGCGGGGGCGAAGCACUUGAGUAAUGUAAUGCCGUGA